rnacentral:misc_RNA from 1 species
UGAAUUGGAUUGAAAAGAAAGUGAAUUUGUAAAAAAUGCGAGUUGGGUUUUUGUAAAUAAGAAUUGGUGAAAUGUCGGUUUGGAGAAAAUUCUUGGAAGUUUUUGACGGUGAAAGGGAUGGAGGCGGACAUAGAAAGCGGCGAGUCGGCCGGUUGUGAAGCGAGUGAAGCAACAAACAAUGCGUGAGUGGCAGUGAUUACGCUUUC